UACGUAGGGGGCAAGCGUUGUCCGGAAUUAUUGGGCGUAAAGAGCGUGUAGGCGGUCCGGUAAGUCAGCUGUGAAAGUCAAGGGCUCAACCCUUGAAUGCCGGUUGAUACUGUCGGGCUAGAGUCCGGAAGAGGCGAGUGGAAUUCCCGGUGUAGCGGUGAAAUGCGCAGAUAUCGGGAGGAACACCAAUGGCGAAGGCAGCUCGCUGGGACGGUACUGACGCUGAGGCACGAAAGCGUGGGGAGCAGACAGG
rnacentral:rRNA from 1 species